CUGGCUCAGGAUGAACGCUGGCGGCGUGCCUAACACAUGCAAGUCGAGCGGAGCUUU
rnacentral:rRNA from 1 species